rnacentral:rRNA from 1 species
UACGAAGGGUGCAAGCGUUACUCGGAAUUACUGGGCGUAAAGCGUGCGUAGGUGGUUCGUUAAGUCUGUCGUGAAAGCCCCGGGCUCAACCUGGGAAUGGCGAUGGAUACUGGCGGGCUAGAGUGCGGUAGAGGGUGGUGGAAUUCCCGGUGUAGCAGUGAAAUGCGUAGAGAUCGGGAGGAACAUCAGUUGCGAAGGCGGCCACCUGGACCAGCACUGACACUGGGGCACGAAAGCGUGGGGAGCAAACAGG